rnacentral:misc_RNA from 1 species
AGGAUUAUCAAGUUGACAUUGUAUCUACAAAUUAAUGAAGAAUGAUGAUAGUGUUUGUGAUACUGAUCUACUUCAAUGGCCUCCUUGUUAGCUCUGAGGGCAACUACCUUCCUUUCCUAAACCCUACUGACUAUUCAAUACUGAAUGGCUAUGAUGAUUAUGCAAUAAAUGUGUCAUUUCCCUCACUAAUAAGAUUCGGAUCAUCAUGCUAUACUGAUGCAUGGAUAAGUACUAAUGGAUUGAUUAGCUUGGGAACUAGAUACACAAAUCAUGAUCCAAAUCUCUUCCCUAUUUCUAUUCCAGUCAUUGCUCCAUAUUGGGAUGACAGUGACUUAACUGGAAGAGGUGAAGUACGUUAUGCUGUUAUAACUCCAGCAACUAAUCUUUCAUUGUGCAAUCAAGUCAAUGAUUACUUAUCUACUUCAACUGGUAGCAGUGUAUCUGUUGAAUGGAUACUGUGGGCCUACUGGUAUGAUGUAUGUCCAUAUGGUAAUUAUAAUUGCAGGAGUAUUGAGUCCAAUCAUUUCCAGGUUGUAUUAGCUUUUCAAAGUAAUGCCACAUAUGCUGUAUUUAUAUACAAGUAUGGACUCAUACGAUGGACAAGGAAUGAGGCUGGUGUUGGUAUCAAUAGUGGUGAUGGGUACUAUAUCAAUCAUCCAUUAUCUAACACUGAUGAUGUUAUUAACAUAGACUGUAAUAAUGUAGUAUCAAGAUGGAAUAAUGUUGUAUACAGAUUAGAUCAAGGGCAGCACCAAGUUAUAGACAAAUUUGAAUUCCUAUCCAUUACAUCUCACAGUAUUACAGUAUCAUGGGAACUAAGUAUACCAGCUAUUAGCAGUACACUUAUUCUGAGUGUUACUGAUGAUCAACAAACAGUUAAUGAUAAAAUCAAUGUAGCUGGAUAUGAUAGCCAUACAUACAGUUAUAGUAAAGAUGAUUAUCUUUGCAAUGUAUAUACAUUCAAACUGACACUACCAGCAACAACAAAAGGAUGCAACAAUGACAAUAAACUUUUAUCUACAGCAAUGACUCCAAUACCUCAAAAUAUUUCUGCAUUAUACCUCUUUCAAGAAACUUUAAUAAUAAAAUUAAAGAUGAAUUGGUGCCAUAAAAAUGAAAUAUAUAUAGAGCUACUCUUGUCUGUAAAUAAGACUUUUAAUGUAUCAAAGUCCUUGCACAUUAAUAAUCUUCAUCAAUUUUACACUACCAAAUGGAAUAUAAAACUGAACAGACACUCUCUAUAUUACUUAACAGUAACAGCAAUUGGUAUGUAUAAAACUAAUACUUCUAAUGCAACAGAAAUAAGGAUAUAAUAAUAAAGAGGAACGAAGACAUUUCCUGUUUUAUUUGUGUGACUGAAAUUUUCAAUAACUGUCAAGUAUUGGUAGCAUCAGCCAGAACAACACUGAUACCAUAAUCAACACAAACUAAUGGAACAUGUUACUCAUUUACUGAUAAUGGAACAUACACUGUAUAUGCACAUGAUAUUGAGAAUGGACUAAUAAUACUGACACCAGCAGUAGUUAUACAAUAUACAGUGGACUGGAUUGAACCAUCAGGCACAGGUUAGCCAUUAAAAAUGCAAUUAUAUUACUAUUCUAGAAGUGAGGGACCAAUCACACAUAACUCUAAUCCUUGGAAGCUAUCUUGGAUUCUCAGCAUUUGCAAAUCUCAUUUUACUCAUAGCAAUGGCAGUACUACUAAGAAACAAAUGUAGAAAAAAGCCUCAAAGCUCUGUACCUCAUAAUCCAAAACCUGUCAAAACUGAAGUAAAUUCAGCAUAUGAAAUGAUGCAAAGGAGAAGCAAUGAAAUACAAACAAGCAACGAAAUACAAAUAUCUCAAAAUGAUACUACUAAUGUUGAUGAUGCUCGUGUAUCCCCAAUAUAUGAUGCUAUACCACAAGAAAUCCCACCUGAGCCAGAAUCAACAACUACACAUGAAAUACCAAGCUCCAAUGUGAAUCAGAACAUUUAACAAACACACAAUGUGUCAUAAUUUUUAAGCAUUUUGCCUUUUAGCAAUGCUAAUAUUGUUUCUUAAUCUCA